rnacentral:RNase_P_RNA from 1 species
UGAAAAGAUUGAAGGUGAUUACUUCAUUAAUCCAUGCGAUCAAUGAAGAGGAAAGUCCGAGCACCAAGGAAAAUCUUAGCCGGUAACACCGUGCCACAUAUUAAUAUCCUUCGGGAAAAAUAAUAUGGAGGGAAAGUGCCACAGAGACAAUACUAUUCCGGGUUUACUCGGAAGAAAGGUGAAAAGUCCGCCUCAGGCGGAUCUCAAGAUGCUUGCAUCAUGAGGUGGUAAACCCUAAGAGGUGCAAGGCAGGAUGGAAUGUACAGUUAUCCUCCAAAUGAUAGUUGUAUAUCCUGCCGCAAUGAUCUUCAAUUAUGAAGACAAGAUAGAUGAUCACAUCCGUUUACGGACCACAGAACUCGGCUUAUGCAAAUCUUUUCAGCCU